GCUUCGAUUUGCAACAACGGUCGAUGACAGAUUUAGUUUGCCAUUUAUGCCGAUAGCAUAAGCUACGAAUUUCGGAAGAUUUUGCUACGGAGUUGAGGUCUUGUAUCUUGUGGAAGUGAACGAAUCGAAUUGGGGAGCGGGUUCGAUGCGAAAAAGAUUGUUUCGUAAGAAAAGCAAAAGCCAUUUGAGCCGGUCGCGGUCUAGUUCGUCUAAGCCCCAGUAAUUUGUCUGUCUAUGGAUGGAGGAUUUUCAGAAAAGAUGCUGUAGCUUGUGUGCUGUGGUGAUCUAGAUAUGAAAGUGAAUCUUAUAUUGAAGCGGAAAUCGUACAAGUGAUAAUUAAGUGUUUGUAAAUUAGAGUCACAAAAUCAAAGUGUUGGAUGUGUAUGCAGUCCUGUAUCGAGAGCAAGUGAAGUGUCAUCACAUCCUCAGUUGAUACCAGAAGGAAUCCUUAUUCGAUCCGGUGCGAUUCGUGUGCCAAGGACAAUUGGAUUUGGCUCCCAGUCGAAUUCCAAUUGACGUUCGAACAGAAUUCAGUUCAUAUCCUCAACAAAAUCCAAUUAACGUUGAAAGUAGAUCACCUAAACUCAAAACCCGUGAAUCAAACGUCCUCAUCCAGAUUUCGUGCAUAAAAAUUUUCGUUUCUCAUUUCCACAUCGAUUGACACAAGGUGAAUUCUUCCCCACCUUGCGAUUGGGACUAAAAAAGGCUUUUAGGCAAGUAGAACGCGCGUGUUUCUCCUAACUCCCGACGCAGUAGUACCCGGAACAAUUCUCUCCAUCAUACAUAAUUCUAUACACGUGAGAGAAAAGUAUCGAGUGAAGGACGAAACAAAAUCAGCGAACAUUUCUCUUCCAAAGAAGAAAACGCAGAAACUGUAGUGGUGGCGACGGCUUAAAAGUGUGUACUUUGCAGUAGUAGAGCUUCGUGAACAAACACUUGAUACACGAAAGAGUCGCCUUCUCGGGUCCUUCGGCUGCUAGUGGUAAGCACUCAGGGAGGACUCUAACCGUCGUUCUACAUUCGAAAUACCGAAAAAAGGCUGAAUAACAACAACACAAGCAACCAUACGACUACAAUAAGGGCCGACAACUAGGACUCGAAAAACAUAGAAAAGAUAUAAAAUAGCGCUUGGAGAAAAUGGGUCAAACAUUUGGCAGCCCGAAUGUCUCUAAUAGGCAACCUAGAGCCAGAAAGGAUUAUGG